rnacentral:rRNA from 1 species
GAUGAACGCUGGCGGCGUGCCUAAUACAUGCAAGUCGAGCGAACAGAUAAGGAGCUUGCUCCUUUGACGUUAGCGGCGGACGGGUGAGUAACACGUGGGUAACCUACCUAUAAGACUGGAAUAACUCCGGGAAACCGGGGCUAAUGCCGGAUAACAUUUAGAACCGCAUGGUUCUAAAGUGAAAGAUGGUUUUGCUAUCACUUAUAGAUGGACCCGCGCCGUAUUAGCUAGUUGGUAAGGUAACGGCUUACCAAGGCAACGAUACGUAGCCGACCUGAGAGGGUGAUCGGCCACACUGGAACUGAGACACGGUCCAGACUCCUACGGGAGGCAGCAGUAGGGAAGCUUCCGCAAUGGGCGAAAGCCUGACGGAGCAACGCCGCGUGGGUGAGGAAGGUCUUCGGAUCGUAAAACUCUGUUAUUAGGGAAGAACAAAUGUGUAAGUAACUGUGCACGUCUUGACGGUACCUAAUCAGAAAGCCACGGCUAACUACGUG